UGGGGAAUAUUGGACAAUGGGCGAAAGCCUGAUCCAGCCAUGCCGCGUGUGUGAAGAAGGUCUUCGGAUUGUAAAGCACUUUAAGUUGGGAGGAAGGGCAUUAACCUAAUACGUUAGUGUUUUGACGUUACCGACAGAAUAAGCACCGGCUAACUCUGUGCCAGCAGCCGCGGUAAUACAGAGGGUGCAAGCGUUAAUCGGAAUUACUGGGCGUAAAGCGCGCGUAGGUGGUUUGUUAAGUUGGAUGUGAAAGCCCCGGGAUCAACCUGGGAACUGCAUCCAAAACUGGCAAGCUAGAGUACGGUAGAGGGUGGUGGAAUUUCCUGUGUAGCGGUGAAAUGCGUAGAUAUAGGAAGGAACACCAGUGGCGAAGGCGACCACCUGGACUGAUACUGACACUGAGGUGCGAAAGCGUGGGGAGCAAACA
rnacentral:rRNA from 1 species